CUACAAUGUUAGUCUGACCAUCUCAAUUCUUCUGGUUUUGGUUUGCAUUUUCUUCAUUGGCAAGCACAUCUACGAGAAGCAACAAAGAGCUAUGGGUGAAAUCCAUGAUCUCCUGACUAUAUUCUGUAAAGGAUAUAGGGCCGGCCUGACGUUAAUGAUGUCCUUGGCAUUCUGCUUCAUCAUUGCCUUUUCCAUCAUAAUACACAAGCAUUGGUGCAGCCCCAGAACCCGGCCAGCUCUAGACUUUAUUGCUGAAUAGUUUUAUCCAGAUACUUCGACAUGGGCCCUUUAAUAGAGGGACGCUGAUGGCUUUACCAACGCAUCUCCGUACCCCAAACAAGCCAGAAUCUAUACCGGAACUGACAGAAAAUGCACAACCAUCUGUUCUACCCGACAGUAUUAUUUCCCUUCACACAACAUCUUAAAGCAUGAUUCAAUUUUCAUCUUUUUACAAAC